AUUAUCUGCAAUGCAUUAUGGCCCAGCUGAGAAUUCUCAUGUUGCAUGCUACAGAAUGGCAUUAAUGAAGUUUCCUCGUGUAGAUCGAAAAAAAUGGUCCGUUGUAGAAAGGGAGAAUCUAGGGAAGGGAAUAAGACAACAAUUUCAGGAGAUGGUGCUUCAGAUUUCAGUGGAUCAAAUUAGUGGGCUACAAGGAUUCUCUGCAGAUUCAGAUGAUUUGGAUAACAUUCUUGCAUCAAUAAAAGACCUUGACAUCACUCCUGAAAAGAUUAGGGAAUUUCUGCCAAAAGUUAAUUGGG
rnacentral:misc_RNA from 1 species